rnacentral:rRNA from 1 species
GACGAACGCUGGCGGCGCGCCUAACACAUGCAAGUCGAACGAGCGAGAGAGAGCUUGCUUUCUCGAGCGAGUGGCGAACGGGUGAGUAACGCGUGAGGAACCUGCCUCAAAGAGGGGGACAACAGUUGGAAACGACUGCUAAUACCGCAUAAGCCCACGGCUCGGCAUCGAGCAGGGGGAAAGGGAGCAAUCCGCUUUGAGAUGGCCUCGCGUCCGAUUAGCUAGUUGGUGAGGUAACGGCCCACCAAGGCGACGAUCGGUAGCCGGACUGAGAGGUUGAACGGCCACAUUGGGACUGAGACACGGCCCAGACUCCUACGGGAGGCAGCAGUGGGGAAUAUUGCACAAUGGGGGAAACCCUGAUGCAGCGACGCCGCGUGGAGGAAGAAGGUCUUCGGAUUGUAAACUCCUGUUGUUGGGGAAGAUAAUGACGGUACCCAACAAGGAAGUGACGGCUAACUACGUG